rnacentral:tRNA from 1 species
GCGAUAGUAGGCGGCGGACAGGUGCCCGGCGUCUAUCGCGCGCUGAUACCACUGCAUCGCCUGUUCAUAAUCCGGUUCGCCGCUC